rnacentral:lncRNA from 1 species
AUACCCCAGGGCACCAGGCCCCAGCUCUACGGUCAGGAUGGUGAGGGCCAUGACCCAGGCACUUGGGGCAAUCACUGCUGAUUCCAGCAAACACCAGAGUCUUCUUUGUGGCCUGGUGCCUCGGGAGCACACCCCCGCAGUCCCACCAUCCUGCAGGACGCUGCGGGACGCUGCGGGACCAGCAUGCUAGCUCGGAGGACUAAGGACGCGCAGGACUCCUGUCUCACAUUUGGGGCAGCGGGUGGGUGCCUCGAAACUUGAGAAACUGUUACUGCAGCUCUGAAAAUGGUUGUGGCUUCAUGUAAAUUCCCCAUCAUGCCUCUACCUUCACGACAAAGUGCUUUGGGCUGGACUGGUGAGCCCCAGCUUCCAGGCGAUUGGACAGUUCUGGGUGAAGUCUCCCGGGGGUCACGCUGGGGAGGCAACUGGGCCCAGCAGUCACUGUCACACCGUCAGCUAGGAGGUGGCCAGUGGAGACAGCUAUUCACCUCAGCUCUUACCACUGGAACUGGGUCCUUCUCUGUGCGUUUUGGGAAUGGAAAGCUAUCUGCCAUGUGCAGGAAGGAUGUGGAGUGAAAAUCUGGGUGAACGUCAAAAGCCAUCCGUGCACAGAACUCGGGGCCCUGCAGCGGGCCUGGGGCCUGGGGCCGGGGCAUGAGGCCUCCUUGCUGGGUAGACCCUUGUCUAACUCACGCAGAGCUUCUUUCGUUUUUCACUCAUGGUGAGCGAGUCUCCUGCUGUCGGUGUGGUCCCCAGGAAGGCGACACCCACUGCUCCAUGCUGACCCCUGAGCUCCUGCCAUGGGGCACUUUCCAGAAGUUUGAUGAAGGACUUCAAAUGAGGGGUGGGCAGCUCCUCCAGGUGGGGCCUGGACAGCCUGGACCUCACUUGCCAGUGGGCAGCUUCUCUUCCCGGCAAGAGAGGCAGAAACAGAAGGAGACACCUCUCUGAGCUUGGGGCCAGAGCCUACCAAAAAGGGGUCAGGGGAUGUCCCCCUACCUCCACAAAGCUGAGGGGCUGAUCCAUUUUAGUAACUGUUCCUGAGCGACUACUGGGAGAGUCAGUGCAGGCACCCCCAGCAGGCGCCCUGAGCUGGAAGGGUGGGGUGCCCAGAGUGCUGAGCUGUGUCACCCUGGGCCACAGACACACCCAGCGCAUGUGCCCUAGGACCCCGCUUCGAAGGCCUGUUGCUGUGUGCGUUUGCGUGUGCUCAGGGGAUCCCAUAGACUCUCAAUUCCUUCUCAGUUCUACCUUUUGCUGAAGUCUAGACUUCAGCCAUGUCCUGUGCUUCCCCAGCCCCGGACAAGGGCAGGCAGGUUCUGGGAAGCAGUGCAGGUGCAUGCCUGCCGCAU